UCCAGUGUGGUAUAGUGGUUUGAGCAUCGGACUACAACUCUGGAGACCAGGGUUUGAUUCCCAGAUUGGCC